CUCAGGAUGAACGCUGGCGGCGUGCCUAAUACAUGCAAGUCGAGCGAACAGAUAAGGAGCUUGCUCCUUUGACGUUAGCGGCGGACGGGUGAGUAACACGUGGGUAACYUACCUAUAAGACUGGAAUAACUCCGGGAAACCGGGGCUAAUGCCGGAUAACAUGUUGAACCGCAUGGUUCUACAGUGAAAGGYGGCUUUGCUGUCACUUAUAGAUGGACCCGCGCCGUAUUAGCUAGUUGGUGAGGUAACGGCUCACCAAGGCAACGAUACGUAGCCGACCUGAGAGGGUGAUCGGCCACACUGGAACUGAGACACGGUCCAGACUCCUACGGGAGGCAGCAGUAGGGAAUCUUCCGCAAUGGGCGAAAGCCUGACGGAGCAACGCCGCGUGAGUGAUGAAGGUCUUCGGAUCGUAAAACUCUGUUAUUAGGGAAGAACAAAUGCGUAAGUAACUGUGCGCGUCUUGACGGUACCUAAUCAGAAAGCCACGGCUAACUACGUGCCAGCAGCCGCGGUAAUACGUAGGUGGCAAGCGUUAUCCGGAAUUAUUGGGCGUAAAGCGCGCGUAGGCGGUUUUUUAAGUCUGAUGUGAAAGCCCACGGCUCAACCGUGGAGGGUCAUUGGAAACUGAAAAACUUGAGUGCAGAAGAGGAAAGUGGAAUUCCAUGUGUAGCGGUGAAAUGCGCAGAGAUAUGGAGGAACACCAGUGGCGAAGGCGACUUUCUGGUCUGUAACUGACGCUGAUGUGCGAAAGCGUGGGGAUCAAACAGG
rnacentral:rRNA from 1 species